AAAUUGAAGAGUUUGAUCAUGGCUCAGAUUGAACGCUGGCGGCAGGCCUAACACAUGCAAGUCGAGCGGCAGCGGGAAAGUAGCUUGCUACUUUUGCCGGCGAGCGGCGGACGGGUGAGUAAUGCCUGGGAAAUUGCCCAGUCGAGGGGGAUAACAGUUGGAAACGACUGCUAAUACCGCAUACGCCCUACGGGGGAAAGCAGGGGACCUUCGGGCCUUGCGCGAUUGGAUAUGCCCAGGUGGGAUUAGCUUGUUGGUGAGGUAAUGGCUCACCAAGGCGACGAUCCCUAGCUGGUCUGAGAGGAUGAUCAGCCACACUGGAACUGAGACACGGUCCAGACUCCUACGGGAGGCAGCAGUGGGGAAUAUUGCACAAUGGGGGAAACCCUGAUGCAGCCAUGCCGCGUGUGUGAAGAAGGCCUUCGGGUUGUAAAGCACUUUCAGCGAGGAGGAAAGGUUGG
rnacentral:rRNA from 1 species